UACGUAGGGUGCAAGCGUUGUCCGGAAUUAUUGGGCGUAAAGAGCUCGUAGGCGGUUUGUCGCGUCGAAUGUGAAAACCCGGGGCUCAACCCCGAGCCUGCAUUCGAUACGGGCAGACUAGAGUUCGGUAGGGGAGUCUGGAAUUCCUGGUGUAGCGGUGAAAUGCGCAGAUAUCAGGAGGAACACCGGUGGCGAAGGCGGGACUCUGGGCCGUAACUGACGCUGAGGAGCGAAAGCAUGGGGAGCGAACAGG
rnacentral:rRNA from 1 species